GACGAACGCUGGCGGCGUGCCUAAUACAUGCAAGUAGAACGCUGAAGGAGGAGCUUGCUUCUCUGGAUGAGUUGCGAACGGGUGAGUAACGCGUAGGUAACCUGCCUGGUAGCGGGGGAUAACUAUUGGAAACGAUAGCUAAUACCGCAUAAUAGUAGAUGUUGCAUGACAUUUGCUUAAAAGGUGCAAUUGCAUCACUACCAGAUGGACCUGCGUUGUAUUAGCUAGUUGGUGGGGUAACGGCUCACCAAGGCGACGAUACAUAGCCGACCUGAGAGGGGGAUCGGCCACACUGGGACUGAGACACGGCCCAGACGCCUACGGGAGGCAGCAGUAGGGAAUCUUCGGCAAUGGACGGAAGUCUGACCGAGCAACGCCGCGUGAGUGAAGAAGGUUUUCGGAUCGGAAAGCUCUGUUGUAAGAGAAGAACGAGUGUGAGAGUGGAAAGUUCACACUGUGACGGUAUCUUACCAGAAAGGGACGGCUAACUACGUG
rnacentral:rRNA from 1 species